GACGAACGCUGACGGCGUGCCUAAUACAUGCAAGUCGAGCGCACGGACGAGAAGUUUGUUCCCCUGAUGUUUGCCGCGCACGGGAGAGUCACACGUGGAUCAUCUCCCUAUAAGACUGGGAUCACUUCGGAACACUGGCUAUUACACCGGAUUAUAUUUUGAUCCGUAAGGUUCAAUAGUGAAAUACGGUUUUGCCGCUACCAAUAGAUGGUUCCGUGUUGUAUCUGCUAGUUGGGAUGGCAACGGCUCACCAAGGCAACGAUGCAUAGCCGACCUGAGAGGGGGAUCGGCCACACGGGAACGGAGACACGGUCCAGAUUCCUACGGGAGGAAGCAGUGGGGAAUCUUGGGCAAUGGGCGAAAGCCUGACGGAGCAACGCGGCGUGAGUGAUGAGGGUCUUCGGAUCGUAAGACUCGGUGAUUAGGGAGGAACAUAGGUGUAAUUGAAUGUGCACAUCUUGACGGUACCUAAUCAGAAAGCGACGGCUAACUACGUG
rnacentral:rRNA from 1 species